CCCGGAUACCCAAGCAGGACACCAGGAUUCCUUUUAAAUGAGGAGCCAAUUCCAUAAAGACUUCUCUAAGGAAACACAAAAGCUACUGUGUCAAAAUAUGCCCCUGAAAACAGAGUUCCAUCAUCUUUACGGCUUCCUGUGGUAUGUACCAGGCUGAACCCUGAUACCUGAACCCUGAGCUCCGGCCAUCUGGAUGGACUCCAACCUAGUUGGUCAUUUACCAUACCAUGGUGGUUUCUCUCCUUUCUUGCCUUGCCUCUCUUGUUGAUUUGCUGAAGUCUUUAUCUCCAAACUCAGAGUAAACUCAAAUACAGUGG
rnacentral:lncRNA from 1 species